rnacentral:rRNA from 1 species
GGUAGCGAAAUUCCUUGUCGGGUAAGUUCCGACCCGCACGAAAGGCGUAAUGAUUUGAGCACUGUCUCGACAAUGCAUCCGGUGAAAUUGAAGUACCAGUGAAGAUGCUGGUUACCCGCGCCAGGACGGAAAGACCCCAUGGAGCUUUACUCCAGUUUGAUACUGGGAUUCGGUACUGCACGUACAGGAUAGGUGGGAGACUGAGAACUAUGGACGCCAGUCUGUAGGGAGUCGCUGUUGGGAUACCACCCCUGUAGUACUGGGUUUCUAACCAGCUGCCGUGACCCGGCAGUGGGACAAUGUCAGGCGGGGAGUUUGACUGGGGCGGUCGCCUCCGAAAGGGUAUCGGAGGCGCUCAAAGGUUCCCUCAGAAUGGUCGGAAACCAUUUGAAGAGUGCAAAGGCAGAAGGGAGCUUGACUGCGACACCGACGGGUGGAGCAGGUACGAAAGUAGGACUUAGUGAUCCGGUGGUAUAAAGUGGGAUUGCCAUCGCUCAACGGAUAAAAGCUACCCUGGGGAUAACAGGCUUAUCACUCCCAAGAGUUCACAUCGACGGAGUGGUUUGGCACCUCGAUGUCGGCUCAUCGCAUCCUGGGGCUGUAGCAGGUCCCAAGGGUUGGGCUGUUCGCCCAUUAAAGCGGUACGCGAGCUGGGUUCAGAACGUCGUGAGACAGUUCGGUCCCUAUCCGGCGCAGGCGGAGGAUAUUUGAGAGGAGCUGUCCUUAGUACGAGAGGACCGGGAUGGACGGACCACUGGUGUAUCUGUUGGCUAUCAGAGCCAUGGCAGAGUAGCCAAGUCCGGCAGGGAUAAACGCUGAAGGCAUCUAAGCGUGAAGCCCCCCUCAAGAUGAGUUAUCCCAAUAAGUAAGACCCCUUAGAGAGUAUGAGGUAGAUAGGUUUGAGGUGGAAGUGCAGUAAUGCAUGGAGCUGACAAAUACUAAUCGGUCGAGGGCUUAUCCUG